UUUUUUUAAUAAUGGCCAAUAAUUGUUAUUGUAUGUAACACGAAAAGUAUUUAUCUCUGUAGAGAGAGGGCGAGUAAAUGGGGUUUAAAGUUCACUAAAUUCACUUGACACAAACUAUGCCAUUCAUUUCCUUGUAUUAAAUUGGUCGAAUCAAGUAGGUCCAUGCUAUAUAUAUGUCCUAGAAUCAAGUAGGACAGGUAGUCUUCUUCCGCCCUUUUUCUGAACACUGUCUCAUUCUAUUGCCAUCUGUGCAAAGCAUGAAGCCAAAGGAAAUGUUUUUACCAAGGCAUGUUCCUCAAUAGCGGAGAGAGUUUUAUCCAGUGUCGGUUCUGCAGAAGAACCCAUUCAUAGCAGACCACCCAUUGCAGCACUUGUAAGGUCGCUAUAAAGAACCCGACAGACUCUGCGACCAAAAGAUCCCACUGACGUGUCGUCAAGCCUUGACGAAGAUUUCAUCGAUCAUAGUGCACCGGGAUUUUAUCAAAAAAGAGUAAAAGUUGGGGAAAGGCGCCAUCACAUUUUUUGUACUGAUAGACAGAUGCAACUACUCGCACGCGCAAAAACUUGGUAUAUGGAUGCAACUUUUCGGGUGGUGAACAAGCCAUGGUCUCAGC